rnacentral:rRNA from 1 species
GAUGAACGCUGGCGGCGUGCCUAAUACAUGCCAGUCGAGCGAACGGACGAGAAGCUUGCUUCUCUAAUGUUAGCGGCGGACGGGUGAGUAACACGUGGAUAACCUACCUAUAAGACUGGGAUAACUUCGGGAAACCGUAGCUAAUACCGGAUAAUAUUUUGAACCGCAUGGUUCAAAAGUGAAAGACGGUCUUUCUGUCACUUAUAGAUGGAUCCGCGCUGCAUUAGCUAGUUGGUAAGGUAACGGCUUACCAAGGCAACGAUGCAUAGCCGACCUGAGAGGGUGAUCGGCCACACUGGAACUGAGACACGGUCCAGACUCCUACGGGAGGCAGCAGUAGGGAAUCUUACGCAAUGGGCGAAAGCCUGACGGAGCAACGCCGCGUGAGUGAUGAAGGUCUUCGGAUCGUAAAACUCUGUUAUUAGGGAAGAACAUAUGUGUAAGUAACUGAGCACAUCUUGACGGUACCUAAUCAGAAAGCCACGGCUAACUACGUG